UACAGAGGUCCCGAGCGUUGUUCGGAUUCAUUGGGCGUAAAGGGUGCGUAGGCGGCGGGGCAAGUCUGAUGUGAAAUCCUGGGGCUCAACCCCAGAACUGCAUUGGAUACUGCUUUGCUAGAGUUCUGGAGAGGGAACUGGAAUUUACGGUGUAGCAGUGAAAUGCGUAGAGAUCGUAAGGAAGGCCAGUGGCGAAGGCGAGUUCCUGGACAGUGACUGACGCUGAGGCACGAAGGCCAGGGGAGCAAACGGG
rnacentral:rRNA from 1 species